GCUGUUGCCCGGCUCGGGGGCUGUGCCCGGCCCGGGGCAGGUCGAUAAUGGCAGCAAAACGCGGUUACCUGAGGCAGAAGGUACGACUUGAAGCGACAGCAGAUUCUCUUGAUGAUGAUGUAGAUGUGGCUGAAGAUGAUCAUGGGUGGAGGCAGGACGGGCCUGUCGUGGAACGUCAUGAUCAGCUGGUACCGCUGGAACUUCCACACUUGGUUGGAUAUUGAUUUUACCUCAAAGAAGCAGGAUCCCAGCCCUCUGCACCCCUGCUGGCACGGCAGGAGUUAACAGCAUGACCUACUUCCCAAACUGCUGAUUCCUUGGUCCUUCAGCCAAUAAUAGCUCCCAUUGUGAGAUCCUUCCCUUCUCCCCCCGCUAAGUGACUGGCAUUCCAGCCCUUUGAAAUUCGUGACCUUUUAAGCUCCAUACAUCCAAUGAAAGACAGGCUUUGUGCUUGUGACACCAGCUUCCUACGCCAACAGGCAAAAAUGGAUCACCUGCUUUGCUCAGGUGCUGUGUUCAGUAAGUAUUACCAGCAAGUAGUUAUUCCUUUUUUUUUUUUUUAAUCCCAAGGUCAUGAGAGGAAAACCAUGCAGUGUAACGUAGGUAGGAAGAACAAGCAGCAGAAAUUUAUGUAGUUUUACUCCAGAGUAGUCUAAAUAUAGAUACAGAUAAAUAUAGAUAGUGCACACUGCUUGACCACAGACCUUGGCAACGUGUAGCCAUCCUUCCUGUUGAUUUAGGCAAUAUAGACUCUUUUUUUAGGUCUUAUAAGAAUUCUGCAAGGCCCGAAUUUCUUUUUCUAAGUGAAAAACAAAACAGGAAGAAUGAAGAAAAAAAAAGCCAGAUGGUGUAGUGGGAAUGCCUCCUGCUUUGGGUGCUGAGAUUUUUGUGCUGUUCUGUUGCAGAGUCAGCAGCCAGUGUCUCCACUGGCUUUAUCCUGUGCAUAGCAGGUUUCAUGGAUUCUGUUUCUCAUCUUUCCAGAGCAAUCUUGAGGCCUGUCAUUACCCAUUAAAAGGUAAUUGCAAGUAGCCAGAUUCUCUCCUAUGCCUUACUGCAACUGCUGGAAAACUCAAAGGCACCUUUCCUCCCCUCCUGCCCAGUGUACACACCACUGCCAGGAUUUGCCAGAACCAUUAGAUUCUGAAAUGCAAAACCUUGCAAAAUCAGCUGAUGGGCUCUCAAAGAAAUUUGAUCUCAACAAUAAGAAAAAGACCCGUGAUCAUUUACAUAC